rnacentral:misc_RNA from 1 species
UCCGGCUUCCCGCCGGCAGUCUCCCGAGAGUCCCCGCCUUUACGCGCUGGCAACACGGGACAAGGGUUGCGCUCGUUGCGGGACUUAACCCAACAUCUCACGACACGAGCUGACGACAGCCAUGCAGCACCUGUCUUGGGGUUCCCGAAGGCACUCCCGCAUUUCUGCGGGAUUCCCCAGAUGUCAAGACCAGGUAAGGUGGGGAUGACGUCGGGAAUGUCGAUA